UACGUAGGUGGCAAGCGUUGUCCGGAAUUACUGGGUGUAAAGGGCGUGUAGGCGGGUUAUUAAGUCAGAUGUGAAAUACCGAGGCUCAACUUCGGGGCUGCAUCUGAAACUGAUGAUCUUGAGUACUGGAGAGGAAAGCGGAAUUCCUAGUGUAGCGGUGAAAUGCGUAGAUAUUAGGAGGAACACCAGUGGCGAAGGCGGCUUUCUGGACAGUAACUGACGCUGAGGCGCGAAAGCGUGGGGAGCAAACAGG
rnacentral:rRNA from 1 species